CCGGGUGCUGCUCCCGCGGAUCCUCCCUCCGUCGCCCGGGCGGGGCAUGGGUUGGGAGGGUCGCUCAGGUCCGCCUUCGCCGCUAGGGUUACUGCGGCCGCCGCCCCAUGGCCCCCAUCCCUGCUCGUUCAUGCGUCCCUGCGCCGCCAUGUCCGCCUUCUCCCAUGUCUUCUCUUCCCCUCAUCAACUUCCCCUUCUACAGGGUGGACAAGGUCAACCUCCUGCAUCCCAUCGUGAGAGAGAUCCCGACCGCGCCCUGAAGCCCAAGGCCAGGAUGGCCCGGGUCCUCCAGGGGCUGGAAGCGGACGUCAAUGCUCAGUUUUAUAACAAGCAGCAAUGGCCUUGCGAGCAAAAGCCACUAUCCAUCAAUGACAAGAAAGAGGAGAUCCACAGGAAGAGUGGCACUUGCUGGACGUUGGGUGGAGGAGAUCCGGUGCCGAUGGACCGCUCGCGCCGGUGUCUGAGCUCUUGGAGCCGCCAGACUCACCGUCGCCAUAUGGAGACAGGUUGAUGGAGGAUGAUGGUGUUCGGGUCAGUGAGUGGAAGGCGGCGCCAAUGAGGAUGUGGAGGAGGACUUGGUCGAGCCGGGUCCGUGAAGAUUGUUUUUUAGAUGGCCGCAUGAUGCAGGAGCAGUAGAGGCGUUGUGUUGAGCCUUGGGUUCUUUCGUCGAUCAGUUAGUACGUGCCCUUGGCGUUGUGUUGAGCCUUGGGUUCUUCCGUCGAUCAGUUAGUACGUGCCCUUGGUCGCCUGCACGCCUCAGGUUCAUCUCGUGUAUCAUGAAGAAACUUCGACAGUAAAGAGAGCAGAGCUAUUAUCUCAACAACAGAAUCUAGAUAAUUUAAUCCAUGAGCAUUUUCAUGCAUAUGCUUUUAUUGGUGUAUUUGGAGUGUUUAUGAUGCUGAGCCAUGUGAGAACUAUUCAACUUUGGGGGGGGGGGAUCAAAGUGAGCUCGUUCCUGACAGAGGAAUUAUUCAGGAACAAAAGGUGCUGACAAUCUAAUAGCAAAGGAAUUGACCCUCAAAUUUGAAACCAAGAUUACAGUUGGCGAACAAUUUGCAAUUUAUGUAGUCACACCAAUGUGACCUUAAGGAGUCCCUACCUCAGUCUCUGCAAGAAAUUCCUUUCUUUCGGUUAACCCCUAUUUUGAAAAAGCAUUAUAGCAAAUACUCCUUUAUAUUAUGGGACGGAGGGAGUAUUAGGAAACCCCAAAUCUAAGAUUUAUUGAGAUAUGGAAAUCUCAUUCGACCUUGUAAUUUCAAUCUUCUCCCAGUGAAUAUAUUUCCAUUUGAGUGCAUGUCGGCAUAUUCUCUGAUGUGUGCCCUUUUUGGUUUUCAAUACUUAGGGCUGCUCGCGGUGCCAGUCGGCGCGCCCAUCCGCGUGUUACUUCAGCAUGCCAUUUUUAUAGAUAUUUUGGAAUUUACAUUCUGAUGGUU